CAUCGCCACCAUCAUCAUCACCUUGGGCGACAAAGGAAGAUGGGUGGGCAUGAAGUAGUCAGUUGUUGAAGCUGACACGACAGUGCCCAGGGAGCCAGCAAAUUGGCAAGCGGCUUGGCUAACCAAGUUCUUGCUCUUUGUUGGUGUGACAAUUUGGAAACGAACAGCGACUGGAUGACGAACAAACUUUCUUGAGUGAAACGGUAUUCCAGGCGACCAGUUCUUUUUCAUACGUCGUAUGGGAGAAGUACGUCGUUCGUGUUCCCGGCCAAGAUUCAGGUUUCUUCUAAUCUGAAGUGUGUGGUGCAGUGACUACCCCGUUCAUAUCCUGUACAUAUCGCUGAUCUUCAGUGUGACGACAUGCAUACUUCGGUGACGUUUGUGGGUGUCACGAUGUGACUUUGUUGCGGCUGUGAUCUGAGUGCACGUUGUUGUGAAAGCAUUUGUCUGCGCAGUUGUUCGUUGAAUGACGUUGGAUACCGAAUUCAAGGUAUGUGAUUUGUCAAUAAAAUAGGUGUUUGC